CCUGCCUCGGCCUCCCAAAGUGCUGGGAAUACAGGCGUGAGCCACUGCGCCCAGCCUGGCAACACAGUAUUUAUCAGCAGAAGGAAAUACACCAGGUAGACACUUGGACCUCACCCUUUCUCAGGCAGAGUGCUAAGGAACAGGUACUCCUGUUACACUGUAAUAGUCCCUUGCUUACACAGUCCUGUAAACAUUUAAAGUCCCUCGCAUGAAGUCUGCCCCAGGCAGUGAAGGAAUUGAAAAUUCCAUUUUUUGUAUUGUGUGUAUCAUCUUGGAGGUUUAUUCAUGGAGCUAGCAACUCUACUUCAGUAUUCUGAUAUCAAAGACCUAGUGUGUCACAUCAAACACCUUUUCAAAUUCUGCGUUUUGGUCUUGGGAAAGCUGUCAGCAACUUGGGAGCCAGCUUAUCUCCCUCGAGACUUUUCUGGUGAUCUAGCUUUGGCAGUCACAAAAGCAAAUUAUAGGGCCUUCAUCUUACAGGCAUUGAUCUUAGGAUGGUUUCAAGAAUUGAAGAGGAUUUUAAAUAGGACAAUUCUAUAUAGUAAUUUAUGUUGUGAAAAUGUACAUAUUGUAGUAUUGAUGAAAACGUUGUAUUUAUUAGAUCCAAUAACAUUUUCAUAUCUCUUCUAGUUAUUCUCUAUUAAAAUAGAUCAAGUUCAUUUUGUUAUGUUAUAUUCAUUUGGGGCUUCUUGUUAGUGCAUUUGGAUGUGAUUGUGGAGAACGUGCAGAUUCUGUGUUGAUAUUCACUAUUUUAAUCCAAGUAGCUGUAAUGGCUCUGUUAAGCAGCAACAUUACAAACACUACUGCUGAGAAAGUGGCAGGCUCCAACCUGUGUCUCUGAGUAUGUGGGGAAAAAAACGUUAAUCCAAGCAAUUAAUUAAAGACCAGUGGCUUUAGUAAGAAUCACUUCUUCCAGCCUUUCUUCUUAAAAUCUGUGAAUACUUCUUGCAAUGAAACUUUUUUUUUCAACUCCAAAACAUCACAUACAAUACAAAUUCAUUUUGAGGCAUUCAUAUAAAUAGACUGGAAAGUACAUGCAUCAGAACAUUUCACUGUUUGGAAGAUUGGUGUUUCCUUUUGUGUUUCUCUCUAUUCUCCAAAUUUUCUGUAACGAGCUUGUGAUUUUUCUGAAAUUAGAAAUUCUAAAAACCUACAAUAAAUGUUACUUUCUUCCUGAAAGAACGUCUACAUAACUAUGAGGACAUUGCGCAUAGUUCUAGUGUAGAAAUGUGCAAAAAUAAUUUGCAGUCUGCAGUGAGGUUGCAAUGUAUAUCAGCUGAAACGGUGACCCUGUAAGUCUUCCAGGGAAGUUUAAGUGGUCCCCUCUCCCUAAGCAGACCAAAUUUCUUAUUCCUGUUCAGGGAUCCCAUCUCCUAAGCUGCUUCUAAGAUAUCUGCACACCAGGAACCUAAAGUCUUCACUUUGGGAAUUACUGUUAUCUGCAUGAGGCAGUGCAAAUGUUAAACCCCCUUUCUCUCUCUCUCUUUCUCAUGUCCCCACA